GAAACAACUAAUCGAUUUAAUCGAUUAUAAUCGAUUAUUAAAAUAGUUAACAACUUUUUUAGUCAUCGAUUAGUUGUUUAAUAAUCAUAUUUUACCGCAUAAAGUCUAUUUUUUACCACAAUCUGACAUCGGUUACAAUCUGUUAAAUUCGCCGCCAGUGUGUGGCAGUAAUGAGCCACUGAUCUACCAGUGGAGCCGUAGAAGAAGAAAUGAGCCAAUAAGUGCCCUCGGUUUUCAUGACGUAUCACGUUACUGACGCUCAUCUUGCUGUGAGAGAUGGCGGAUCAACAAGAAAUACGGAAGAAAAAUAGAAGCAACAAAACAAGAGAAACCCCGGACAAAAAACCUCACGAGUAUGGGAGCACUUCACUAGAUGCCUUGAAAAGACUGGUGACCUGCAAAAUAUGCAAAAACCAUGGCACGACGGAAGCACGACGUCCCUAAGUGAACAUUUGAGACGAAAACGUGGGGGCUGAUGCAGCAGAGGAAUGUCCGAAAAAAACAAGCAACGAUGGACAACUACAUGGGGAACAAGACACUCACCCCCAGCAAUGCAUACCACUUACAAACUCUAUUCCAGAUUCUACAUUAUUUUUUAUGGAAUUUAGCUCUUAUAUUUUGAUGCCAAAAAAUUAUUCUGGACUGAUAUUUUGCACUGUUUAGCUCAUUUUACACCGCUGACUGUGUUCAUGUGCAAUAAAAUAGAUUGCAGUCAACUGCACAAUUCUCUUAUGUUUUUCUUUUUCUUAACUGAAAUGUAUUCAUCACUUGUAUAGGUUAAAUAGCUAAACAAUAACAAACCGAUUAAUCGAUUAAUCGAAAAAAUAAUCGACAGAUUAAUCGAUUAUGAAAAUAAUCGUUAGUUGCAGCCCUACUGGAAAUGAUAG